CGGGUAGGAAUUGGUGAUCUCCUACAGGCAGGAAUAGAUGACCUAUGUCUUGGAUAUGGAGACCGACGAUAAGGAGUUGAUGGAGAUCUCCGAUACCUAGAGCGAUAGGGAGAGGGUGAUCUACGUCGUAUGGGACGCGAUCUACGCCGAGGAGGUGGGGGUGAUCUAUGCUGCACAGGCGAGGGUAAUCUACGCCGCACAGGAGAGGGUGAUCUCCGUCGAAAGGGCAACGGUGAUCUUCGGCACCCAAGAGGUGAAGGAGAUCUACGGCGUCGAGUGGGUGAGGGUGAUCUAUGACGACGA
rnacentral:misc_RNA from 1 species